CCUACGGGAGGCAGCAGUGGGGAAUAUUGCGCAAUGGGCGAAAGCCUGACGCAGCGACGCCGCGUGAGGGAUGAAGGUCUUCGGAUCGUAAACCUCUGUCAGCAGGGAAGAACGGUCACUGUGCUAAUCAGCAGUGAAUUGACGGUACCUGCAAAGGAAGCACCGGCUAACUCCGUGCCAGCAGCCGCGGUAAUACGGAGGGUGCGAGCUUUAAUCGGAAUUACUGGGCGUAAAGCGGUCGUAGGCGGUAUGUCAAGUCAAGGGUGAAAUCCCCGCGCUCAACGUGGGAAACGCCUUUGAAACCGGCAGAAUGGAGUGGUUGAGAGGGUAGUGGAAGUCCAGGUGUAGGAGUGAAAUCCGUAGAUAUCUGGGGGGACAUCAGUGGCGAAGGCGAUUAUCUGGCACAUAACUGACGCUGAGGAGCGAAAGCGUGGGUAGGAAACAGGAUUAGAUACCCUUGUAGUC
rnacentral:rRNA from 1 species